rnacentral:ncRNA from 2 species
CGGACGAAACAGGGGUGCUUCGUGCGCAAGCAGUCGUUGCAGCGAGGCUGAGAGAGACCCUUCGCACCCGAUCCGGGUAAUACCGGCGCGGGAAGUUUUCGGGAAGUUUUU